GUUAUUUCCAUUAUAAACAUCAAAGUCCUUACUCUUUGUUAAGUUAGAGUAGGGAUGGUUUACAUUUUGAUGUGAGUAGCAUGGUAUCCUAGACUGAUAUGAAUUAAUAUUUCAUUUUUGUGACAAGAAUCUCAUUUUCUUUUCACUGUUCAAUCACAUUUAGUAUUUAGUUUCUAGAGAAGUUGUGUUUGAUGGUCUCAUAACUCUUAGGGUAUACAGUUAAUUUUUCUUCUUGUUCUCCAUUCUGUUAGCCAUUCAUGAAUAGUAUGGCAUGCUUUAGUUAGUGUUUCUAAGAAGUAUAAUUAGACUUCUUAAACACGAGCCGAAAGGAUAAUGAAAGUAAUAUAUUUUGAAGCUUUGACAUUGUUAUUGCCUUAAGUUGAAGGCAGCUUUCAGUUUAUCUACAAAGUACUUCCUUUUCCAAACUGCACAUAGAGAUUUUAAAUGUAUCUACUCCUAUUUAUCAAUACAACAGCAGGGAAUUAUGUUCACAAUGCUUUUGAAAAUAAUUCUUAGACUGUGUCAAAUGAUAACUCUGUCAAGGAGGUUUUAUUUUUCUUUUUUAAAUUAAGCUAUUUAAUGCUUAAUUUUGUGUCUGCCACUUGUUUCCUAGUGAAGUGGAUAUGUAGAAAAUUCCUCCUGUCAAUGCUUGCUUCCUACAUGCCAUGCCCAUAUUUAGUUGUCCAUUCAGUGGCUCUAUGUUUUUUCAGCAGGACUUAAUUGAGAUUUAUAAUUCAAACUGGGAUGGUAAUGGGACUCCUUAAUUAAUCUAUUUUUAAAAUUCUUUGAAAAGUUCUAAGUGUAUGAUGGGACUGUAGUUAAUAACUGACUUUUUGGCCCUGUGUAGCAAAUCCUGUCUGGCCUACAGGACCUUGAGAUUCUGAACUUGAACUUCAGUUCCAGUUCAUAACUUAGGAACGUUACCAUUUGUGUUACUUACUGGUUAAACUCCUCAUAGUCUAUGGCUGAAGUUCCUCCACGUGCUUACAUUGAACACUGACUUUUUUUUUUCCUUUACAACUUGAUUGCUCACUGGUUCCAAGAGCAAAGAUUGGUCGCUGCUCAUCUGGGGACAGGUAUCUGACAUUACUGAGUGGUCAUCCUAGACUUGCCCUCAGUAGCCCUUUGCUCAUUGUCACAAGGCCUCAACAGGAGGAAAUAAGGCAUGGGUGAGGAAGGAAC
rnacentral:lncRNA from 1 species